AGGGGGGUUUUACUGGGACAUGAGAGUCUGACGGAGCACGCCGCGUGAGUGAUGAAGGCUUUCGGGUCGUAAAACUCUGUUGUUAGGGAAGAACAAGUGCUAGUUGAAUAAGCUGGCACCUUGACGGUACCUAACCAGAAAGCCACGGCUAACUACGUGCCAGCAGCCGCGGUAAUACGUAGGUGGCAAGCGUUAUCCGGAAUUAUUGGGCGUAAAGCGCGCGCAGGUGGUUUCUUAAGUCUGAUGUGAAAGCCCACGGCUCAACCGUGGAGGGUCAUUGGAAACUGGGAGACUUGAGUGCAGAAGAGGAAAGUGGAAUUCCAUGUGUAGCGGUGAAAUGCGUAGAGAUAUGGAGGAACACCAGUGGCGAAGGCGACUUUCUGGUCUGUAACUGACACUGAGGCGCGAAAGCGUGGGGAGCAAACAGGAUUAGAUACCCCGGUAGUCACAC
rnacentral:rRNA from 2 species